UACGAAGGGGGCUAGCGUUGCUCGGAAUCACUGGGCGUAAAGCGCACGUAGGCGGAUUGCUAAGUCAGGGGUGAAAUCCUGGAGCUCAACUCCGGAACUGCCUUUGAUACUGGCGAUCUUGAGUCCGGGAGAGGUGAGUGGAACUGCGAGUGUAGAGGUGAAAUUCGUAGAUAUUCGCAAGAACACCAGUGGCGAAGGCGGCUCACUGGCCCGGUACUGACGCUGAGGUGCGAAAGCGUGGGGAGCAAACAGG
rnacentral:rRNA from 1 species